UCCAACAUUUUCUUCUAGCAUCACAGGUAGAUAGGGCGGUCAAGAAGACUUUUGGUACAUUGCCCUUCAUCAGUCAGUGUAUUGAGUAUAGAAGUUGGGAUGUUAUGAUGCAGUUGUACAACAUGUCAGUGAGGCCAUGCUUGGAGUUCUGUGUUCAGUUUGGUCACCCUGAUACAGGAAGGAUACCAUUAGCUGAAAGUAUAGAGAAGAUUUACAAGGAUGUUGCAGGACAUGAGGGCCU